rnacentral:rRNA from 1 species
GAUUAACGCUGGCGGUGUGCAUAACACAUGCAAGUCGAACGGACAUCUUCGGAUGUCAGUGGCAAACGGGUGCGUAACACGUUGGAACCUACCCCAGACUCUGGAAUAACCAGUCGAAAGAUUGGCUAAUGCCAGAUAGUCUCGCAAGAGUAAAACUCCGGUGGUUUGGGAAGGGCCUGCGGCCUAUCAGCUUGUUGGUAAGGUAACGGCUUACCAAGGCAACGACGGGUAGCUGGAUUGAGAGAUCGAUCAGCCACAGGUGAACUGAGACACGGUCACCACUCCUACGGGAGGCAGCAGUGAGGAAUCUUCCGCAAUGGGCGAAAGCCUGACGGAGCAACACCGCGUGAAGGAUUAAGUCCUUCGGGAUGUAAACUUCUUUUCUGAGGGAAGAAUUUUGACGGUACCUUAGGAAUAAGCACCGGCUAACUCCGUGCCAGCAGCCGCGGUAAU